rnacentral:rRNA from 1 species
CGGACGGGUGAGUAAUGUCUGGGAAACUGCCUGAUGGAGGGGGAUAACUACUGGAAACGGUAGCUAAUACUGCAUAACGUCGCAAGACCAAAGAGGGGGACCUUCGGGCCUCUUGCCAUCGGAUGUGCCCAGAUGGGAUUAGCUAGUAGGUGGGGUAAAGGCUCACCUAGGCGACGAUCCCUAGCUGGUCUGAGAGGAUGACCAGCCACACUGGAACUGAGACACGGUCCAG